CGGGGUGUAGCGCAGCCCGGUAGCGUACUUGCAUGGGGUGCAAGUGGUCGCUGGUUCGAAUCCAGUCACCCCGA
rnacentral:tRNA from 1 species